UACGUAGGGGGCAAGCGUUGUCCGGAAUCAUUGGGCGUAAAGCGCGUGUAGGCGGUUCGGUAAGUCGGCUGUGAAAGUCCAGGGCUCAACCCUGGGAUGCCGGUCGAUACUGCCGGACUAGAGUUCGGAAGAGGCGAGUGGAAUUCUCGGUGUAGCGGUGAAAUGCGCAGAUAUCGGGAGGAACACCAAUGGCGAAGGCAGCUCGCUGGGACGUUACUGACGCUGAGACGCGAAAGCGUGGGGAGCAAACAGG
rnacentral:rRNA from 1 species